AUAUCAUAUUACCAACGAAUGAAACUACACAAUGUUGGGUUUCGCACUUUCUCAUUUUAAUAUCCUAUAGUUUAAAGUGUAUCACUUUCGAACCCUGUGAUUUUAUUUUUCUUUCUUUAUUUUUCUCUCCACUAAUUUUUUUCAUUAAAUCAGUCACAAAGUUAAAACUAAAAGAAUAGUAAAGUAAAAAUUCGAUAAACUAUAGGUGGGGUAUCUAAAGUUUUUUGUAUAUUAUUUAACGAAAAGUUAACGGAGGGGUUGAUGAAAAUAAAAAAAUAGAACCAUAGAUGCUAAAUUGAUACACUUUAAACCACUCGGUAUUAAAAUAAGAAAGUGCGAAACUGCAGUGGUGGCAUUUGAAGUUUACCCAAUAAAAAAAACUAAAGGA
rnacentral:lncRNA from 1 species